AUUGAACGCUGGCGGAAUGCUUUACACAUGCAAGUCGAGCGGCAGCGCGGGGGCAACCCUGGCGGCGAGCGGCGAACGGGUGAGUAACAUAUCGGAACGUACCCAGUCGUGGGGGAUAACUAUCCGAAAGGAUAGCUAAUACCGCAUACGUCCUGAGGGAGAAAGCGGGGGAUCGCAAGACUUCGCGCGAUUGGAGCGGCCGAUAUCGGAUUAGCUAGUUGGUGGGGUAAAGGCUCACCAAGGCGACGAUCCGUAGCGGGUCUGAGAGGACGACCCGCCACACUGGAACUGAGACACGGUCCAGACUCCUACGGGAGGCAGCAGUGGGGAAUUUUGGACAAUGGGGGCAACCCUGAUCCAGCCAUUCCGCGUGAGUGAAGAAGGCCUCGG
rnacentral:rRNA from 1 species